AAUUCGAUUAGAGUUUGAUCCUGGCUCAGGACGAACGCUGGCGGCGUGCCUAACACAUGCAAGUCGAACGGAGAAUUUCAAUAAGCUUGCUUUGCGAAAUUUUUAGUGGCGGGCGGGUGAGUAACGCGUGGGUAACCUACCCAUAAAGCCGGGACAACCCUUGGAAACGAGGGCUAAUACCGGAUACCCUUAUAGAGUGGCAUCACUGUAUAAGAAAAGGUGGCCUCUGAAGAUGCUACCGAUUAUGGAUGGACCCGCGUCUGAUUAGCUAGUUGGUGGGGUAAAGGCCUACCAAGGCGACGAUCAGUAGCCGGCCUGAGAGGGUGAACGGCCACACUGGGACUGAGACACGGCCCAGACUCCUACGGGAGGCAGCAGUGGGGAAUCUUCCGCAAUGGACGAAAGUCUGACGGAGCAACGCCGCGUGUAUGAUGAAGGUCUUCGGAUUGUAAAGUACUGUCUUUGGGGAAGAACGGUGGGUUUGAGAAUAUUGAGUCCACAUGACGGUACCCAAGGAGGGAGCCCCGGCUAACUACGUGCCAGCAGCCGCGGUAAUACGUAGGGGGCAAGCGUUGUCCGGAAUUAUUGGGCGUAAAGGGCGCGUAGGCGGAUGCUUAAGUCCGGUGUGAAAGAUCAGGGCUCAACCCUGAGAGUGCAUCGGAAACUGGGUAUCUUGAGGACAGGAGAGGAAAGUGGAAUUCCACGUGUAGCGGUGAAAUGCGUAGAUAUGUGGAGGAACACCAGUGGCGAAGGCGACUUUCUGGACUGUAACUGAC
rnacentral:rRNA from 1 species